rnacentral:misc_RNA from 1 species
AAGUCGUAACAAGGUUUCCGUAGGUGAACCUGCGGAAGGAUCAUUACUGAGUGGCUUGGCUCCCGUUCUGGGACCGGUUACCCGACCUUUAUGUCAUUCGCACCGGCCGCGUUGGAGCCGUCUUGCCGACGCCCUGCCUCUCGCUUGCGGGAGGGGGGUGGAGGGGAGACGAGGACGACGAGGGCGGAAUUCUUAACUUCGGCGGAGGUGGUAGGCGACCCUCUCUCUCUCUCACCGUGUGUGUGGAGAGGGAAGGAGGCGACCUGCCCGCCGCCGGCGGUAUUUCCCAACUCUUUGUGAGGAAGCAUGAAGUCUGAAGUCUUGAAGAAUAAAAAGCAAAACUUUCAACAACGGAUCUCUUGGCUCUG